rnacentral:rRNA from 1 species
ACAAGCGGUGGAGCAUGUGGUUUAAUUCGAUGCAACGCGAAGAACCUUACCUGGUCUUGACAUCCACGGAAGUUUUCAGAGAUGAGAAUGUGCCUUCGGGAACCGUGAGACAGGUGCUGCAUGGCUGUCGUCAGCUCGUGUUGUGAAAUGUUGGGUUAAGUCCCGCAACGAGCGCAACCCUUAUCCUUUGUUGCCAGCGGUCCGGCCGGGAACUCAAAGGAGACUGCCAGUGAUAAACUGGAGGAAGGUGGGGAUGACGUCAAGUCAUCAUGGCCCUUACGACCAGGGCUACACACGUGCUACAAUGGCGCAUACAAAGAGAAGCGACCUCGCGAGAGCAAGCGGACCUCAUAAAGUGCGUCGUAGUCCGGAUUGGAGUCUGCAACUCGACUCCAUGAAGUCGGAAUCGCUAGUAAUCGUGGAUCAGAAUGCCACGGUGAAUACGUUCCCGGGCCUU